CAUAAUCUGAGUUGGAUGCUUUAAAGGCUUUCACUUGCAUAUAAUCGUAGAACAAUUUGGAGGACGGGAGCAUUUUUUUCUCUUUCAGUGCAACAAUUGAUGCCUUACUGGCAUUACUGUUUGUCUUGAAUCUAGAGUUUCUAAAGCCUCUUCAACAAAUCCAUUUUGUUUCCAUUCUAUGAGAUGACGACACUUGUUGUGGCACUCUUUCAAAUAGCUCACACAAAGAGGCGGCUACACUUUUGCGUGCAUAAGGCCAAAUUAUCAAGAUGGAAUGUACCAGGUUUUUAAGAUUUUAGGAACAUUUUAACGAGAAUACUCUUGCAAAUUGAGGCCAAUACCACAUGGAAGUAAGAUUUCUUUGUUUAGGUUGUACGUUCUUUGGUGGGGAAGAAGGUCACGGGUUCAAGGGCGCGUGCUGUUGAUACAGCUUCUAAUGGCGGAUCUGGAGAACUCUGUGGAUUCUGCUGGCGUUAAGUGCGGAGAUGAAGGCACAAUGAAGAUUUUAGAAGAGUUGUGAUGGGUUGAUCGCGGACUAUUUUACUGAUGAAGAAAUGAUCAUGGAUUCAGAAAUUAGCAGGACGAUUCUGGCAACGAUGCCGUAAAUAAGUUAGGGAGCACUGAAAGGAGAGUGGUUAUUAAAUGAAUACAAUGUGUGCAAAGGCAGCGGCAUGGAAAUUGCAAAUACUAUCAUAACUCUGGUGUCUGGAAUUGCAAGUGGGGAGUGCAUUGUGAAAUGUAGGUUCAUUCCACAGAGCUUUGAUUGCAUUGAGGCGCCCAUGGUUGAAGCAAUAUAAUUGAAAUCGUGCAAGAUCUCCACCUCUAAAGCACUUGUGGAGACAACAGAUAAUGGAUGGAAAGUGCUGCACAGUGAUUCUCCAAGGGCAAGAUGCAAUGACUCUGCAAAGGCAAUGCGCAGAGCUGAUAAAAACACCCAAACCCUAAGGGAAAGGAAUGAUGGAUAGAUAAUGCGAACCUAAAAAUGAAGGCAUCAUUCCAGCUGUUCUUGUGAAGCGCUUUAGCUAAAGAAGGAUUGCCCUGACUAGCUUCUUACAGAAAUGCUUGCAAACAGGAAAGGAACAUGGUGUCUUUAUUGCAUGAAAUACAGAUGAAAACAAUGCAGAGCCAAUCUAUGAUUUCACAUAUUGAGCAUUUUUUAACUCAAGUUUGAUAGAAAAUUAUUAUUUCGGACUCCUUUUCUUGAGAAGGAAUCUAGCUUUUAUUCAGAAUGUAUGUCGGGAAACUCUGUUGAAAACAACUUAUGUGACACUGUUGACCAGUUACUCCAACCUCAAGAAAACAAACAUCUCAAUGAUGAAAGAUAUUCAUUGACAACAAAAUCUAUUACCUAAACAGCUUCUGACAGUCAUAUUCAACCAGAUGAUGAAAAAAUAAAAAACACUGAUUAAUUAUCCAUAGUCCAGGCUAGUCUUUGAAAUAGCCUUUUUAUGAGCUCGAUAAAUUUUAUUCUAGGAAAUUUUAUUGUUAUCAGAACGUUUUUCUUGAAUUUGAGUGAAAUGUGAAAACUGAUAGAGGAUGCAGUGUGGUGUCUGCUUGAAUAACAAUAAUAAAAACUAAUGUAAAAGGGGAGAUUUA